rnacentral:rRNA from 1 species
UACGAACUGUGCAAACGUUAUUCGGAAUCACUGGGCUUAAAGGGUGCGUAGGCGGCUUGUUAAGUAGGGUGUGAAAUCCCCCGGCUCAACCGGGGAAUUGCGCCCUAAACUGGCGAGCUGGAGUGAGAUAGGGGUGUGUGGAACUUCCAGUGGAGCGGUGAAAUGUGUUGAUAUUGGAAGGAACGCCAGUGGCGAAAGCGACACACUGGGUCUCAACUGACGCUGAGGCACGAAAGCCAGGGGAGCAAACGGGG